UGGUUACUAAUAAUGGGCUUUCAAUUUAAAAUACAACAAUAAAAACAAAACAAAAAGAUACUCGAGCCUGGUUCGUCGGCGUUAUUUGGACAUUUCCUCAGACGCUCGAGCCUCCAACGCGAACCACGAACCAAGAACGAAGUCGACACACGAACGGGUUUCUAUUUGGUCUCUAUAAAGAGUGUGCUGCUCCUUAUUAAACCAAAGAUCACAAAUGGCACAAAAAAUGUCACCACAAAAGAAUGAGGUUCAAAACCAACGAAAGCCAAUAAUCAAAAUAAUGGCCCAAAAGAGAAAAUCAAAGGCAAAUUAUAAUAGGAAAGCAAAGCACCCGGCUAUAUCCAGUUUCGGUGCAACGUCAAUGCUUUCAAUAGCAUCAUUACAGACAUUAAAGACAAGCUAACUGCUCAAGAAAAAGCCUUUCUGGAACUUGAUUGAGCUGUUUUACAACAAAAGAAUUGACAUGAAUAACAUGAAUAAGUCGAACCUUGACUUAGUAAAGUUGGUCAAGAAGUUUGAUCUAGAUACAAAGUCCUUCAAUUUUGGCACCAAAUCACAGCCAAUGCAGUGACUGAGAUUCUAGGACUUCCAAACGAAGGAAGCUCUGUCAAACUUGGCAAUGAUGGAUACACCUCUACCUUCAGAACAAGGCACUUUGGAGGAAAGUCAAAACCAACAAAAGGCAUGGUAGAAGAAGAAUUACAAAAGACAAUUGUCUUAGCAAACCAACCGAAGAAAGAAAAGGCCAAGGUAAAGCAAAAGAAGAAAAUGAAGAAGCUGAAGAAGAAGAAGAAGAAUAGGAAGACAAACAGGAAAAUGAGGUUGUUGACUACGACAAGGAUGUGGUCAGCCUAAUCUUGAUUCUGCUCUGUAUGACAUUCCUCUUUGCCAACUCAUCAUCCACUUUGCACUGGAAAAUUGUUGAGCACUGUGUGAAUCUAGAGACACUUUCAAGCUAUUUGUGGGCAAGAAUUGUUUCAACCUACAUAAAUGACUCAUUGAUAAAAAAGGUAAAAGCAAAGAAGGGAGGAGAAGCCUCUAUAGGAGUUUUUCGGGUUGCACUAUCCUAAUAUUAUUUCUACUGUGUGAGAGGACAAAUAUCAUACAACCAAUCCUUCGCAAGGAGAAAAAAAUUCCUGCAAUUCUUAAAUGGAGUCUUGUGGAACUCCACACAAGAUUCAACCAAAUAGAGGACUUAAAUGACAUAGAGUUUUUUCCAAGAGAGUGAGAAUCGGCUUCGAUCAUUGGUGGUUGUCGCUGUUGGUGGUCAUCGUUGAUUGUGGUUUACCGUGAAUGGUCGUCGCUGUGCAGUCUGAGUUUUUGGUAGUAGUGUGAAAAUGUGGAAGGCGGUUUCUCGAGGUGAAGACGAAUACUUACACGAAUGGGUAAUGACAUAUUUUGUAAAUUUGAAACUA